UACAGAGGGUGCAAGCGUUGUCCGGAUUUAUUGGGUUUAAAGGGUGCGUAGGCGGCUCUUUAAGUCAGUGGUGAAAUACUGCAGCUCAACUGUAGCAUUGCCAUUGAUACUGAAGAGCUUGAGUACAGAUGAGGUAGGCGGAAUUUAUGGUGUAGCGGUGAAAUGCAUAGAUACCAUAAAGAACACCUAUUGCGAAGGCAGCUUACUAAGCUGUAACUGACGCUGAGGCACGAAAGCGUGGGGAGCGAACAGG
rnacentral:rRNA from 1 species